GGUGGCUCAGUGGUAGAGUACUUGCCUUGCAUGCAUGAGGUCCUGGGUUCAAUUCCUCAGCACCA
rfam:Dipodomys ordii contig_11644, whole genome shotgun sequence.